rnacentral:rRNA from 1 species
UCAGGCCUAACACAUGCAAGUCGAGCGGGGUUUUCGGACCUAGCGGCGGACGGGUGAGUAAUGCGUAGGAAGCUACCCGAUAGAGGGGGAUACCAGCUGGAAACGACUGUUAAUACCGCAUAAUGUCUACGGACCAAAGUGUGGGACCUUCGGGCCACAUGCUAUCGGAUGCGCCUACGUGGGAUUAGCUAGUUGGUGAGGUAAUGGCUCACCAAGGCGACGAUCUCUAGCUGGUUUGAGAGGAUGAUCAGCCACACUGGAACUGAGACACGGUCCAGACUCCUACGGGAGGCAGCAGUGGGGAAUAUUGGACAAUGGGCGCAAGCCUAUCCAAAAGGUGCCGCGUGUGUGAAGAA